AUUGAACGCUGGCGGCAGGCUUAACACAUGCAAGUCGAGCGGUGUGAUGGUGCUUGCACUAUCACUUAGCGGCGGACGGGUGAGUAAUGCUUAGGAAUCUGCCUAUUAGUGGGGGACAACAUCUCGAAAGGGAUGCUAAUACCGCAUACGUCCUACGGGAGAAAGCAGGGGAUCACUUGUGACCUUGCGCUAAUAGAUGAGCCUAAGUCGGAUUAGCUAGUUGGUGGGGUAAGGGCCUACCAAGGCGACGAUCUGUAGCGGGUCUGAGAGGAUGAUCCGCCACACUGGGACUGAGACACGGCCCAGACUCCUACGGGAGGCAGCAGUGGGGAAUAUUGGACAAUGGGGGGAACCCUGAUCCAGCCAUGCCGCGUGUGUGAAGAAGGCCUUAUGGUUGUAAAGCACUUUAAGCGAGGAGGAGGCUCUUUUGGUUAAUACCCAAGAUGAGUGGACGUUACUCGCAGAAUAAGCACCGGCCAACUCUGUGCCAGCCGCCGCCGUAA
rnacentral:rRNA from 1 species